GAUUCUACAAGGCUGCAUAGGUUUUAUCCAGGGUACUCAGCUGUUGUCCAAGACUAUCUUUUGCCUCUUCUGUGCAACGGACUGUAUGUGUCCUUCACCAAUGAAGACACAACUUCUCAGAAAAACUCAUCUUGGUACUACUCAUCUAUGAAUGUCGUGAUCAGCUUUAAAAUGGCCCACUGGUGAAUAUUUCCAUUUGUACCUGCUGGUUCCUCACCUGAUGUAGCUAUGCAAUGAUGCAGCUAAAAGACGGUCAUUUUAUCAUAAUGUCUGCGGAAAGCUCUAUUGUUUGUUUGAGAUGUAUAAAUUGUGGUCUCAGAAGCACAUUCAGAUCUACAAUGUCAUAGGUGAGGCCCCUCCAAAGAUUAUUUCCAAGCUGUAAUUUUUGAGGUAAUAGAAGUGGAAAGUUAUUGAACGUAUAUAUAAAAGAAUAAUUAUAUUAAUUGUAUUUAAGUAGAUUCAUUGUGAAUGAGAAAUAAAUAUUAAAAUAUUUUUUGUCUUCUU